AAUGCCUUUGGUUACCGGAAAAGCAGAUCCACAAGCGAUGUCUUAGGGUUUUUUUUUCUUUUUCGGGUGAGGAACAUGGCUUUUCAGGUGGCUUUCUUCAAUAGAUCCCUUCUGGCCUCCAAGCACGACUAGCUCUAGGAUUCGGAUUGCCGAUCGACAAGAGAAGAGGUGAAUAACUCUUGGGUUGCAGAAAAGAAGAGGUUCAUCAUUCAAUCAACAUCAAUCUACCAGCUCUACAACCAAGCAAGAUACAAUGAGGCUGUGUACUUAAGAGAGCCUCGCUCCACCCAAACCUCAUACUCUUACCUGGUCGUAUUUAAUUGGAGUUACCAAAAGGGUUGAGUAAUAACUUUUCAUUCCUUGGCAGACCAGCUUGAGCCCAGCAGGCCCACUCUCCCUCUGCGGGACCUAGCAGCCCAGCAGGCCUCACACACCAUUUAAAUUACGCAUGAAAGGCCGGGUCACAAGCCCGCAGACUAAGCCCGAUAGGCUUCACUAUCAAGCCCACUCUUUCUUUGGUCCAGCAGAACCAAAUAAAAGGAAAAAUGAUUUGAUUCUACUGAGAUUUGAACCCAGACAAUGUGCAUGUCAUUAUGGCUAUUGUAAAUAAAUUCACCAUAUUUCAUAUGUGUAAUUAAUUGCCAGAAGCAUUUAUUCACAUAAUUGUGUGACAAUUAAUAUGUUAUAUUACUAGCAUGCAAUUAAUAUCUCAAUUGAUUUGUGAUUUCCAUUUAUUCAAUUUGUGAGAUAUUAUUUCAAUUUGCUCUAUUCAAUAUUAUUGUGUUACUUGUCUAAAUUUUCGCACUAGAAUAUAUGUGUAGAAAAUGCAGGUACCUAAUGAACUAGAAGUUCUAAAUGAACCAGUAGUUCAUACACAUAUCGAACUUGUAGUUUCGAUAAUGUCAUUUAAGAAACUUGAAGUUUCCUUCAUAAAUUCACCACACAUGAUAAAACCAGUAGAUUUUACAUGUUUAAUCCGAUUUUUCAUACCAUGUUAUAGAACCUGAAGUUCCUAUUAGUUGCUUAUGGACGAUAUUACCCAAAGCACUAAGAUUAUUUGUUCCUUUCCUGUAAGAAAUACCAAAUCUCAACAAACUUGACUUUGUUUCUUUGGAGGUUUC